GUAAGUAACUUGUUAUAUGCAGAUGAGCUCACAUGUUGGAAAUAUUGUGUAUAGGUUAAAUGUGUAUAUACAUUUGAAGCUGCUCAGAUUAGUUCAUGGUCUCUAUUGGUACAUCAACAAGACCAAUCAUAGCCUGCAGUCAAUCUUGUAGUCCUAAGACCAGACGAGAGAACUCAAGAGACAUCAAUGACAAAGUGUCAA
rnacentral:lncRNA from 1 species